rnacentral:lncRNA from 10 species
GCCUAUAAUCCCAGCAGUUUCAGAAGCCAAGACAGGUGGAUCACCUGAGUCAGGAGUUCGAGACCAGCCUGGCCAACAUGGUGAAACCCUGUCUCUACUAAAAAUACAAAAAUUAGCCAGGUGUGGUGGUGGGCGCCUGUAAUCCCAGCUACUCCAGAGGCUGAGAUAGGAGAAUCACUUGAACUUGGGAGGCAGAGAUUGCAGUGAGCUGAGAUUGAGCCACUGCACU